rnacentral:misc_RNA from 1 species
GAUAAGAACGUAGCGAAAUGCGAUAAGUAAUGUGAAUUGCAGAAUUCAGUGAAUCAUCGAAUCUUUGAACGCACAUUGCGCCCGCCAGUAUUCUGGCGGGCAUGCCUGUUCGAGCGUCAUUACAACCCUCAGGCCCCCGGGCCUGGCGUUGGGGAUCGGCGGAGCCCCCCGUGGGCACACGCCGUCCCCCAAAUACAGUGGCGGUCCCGCCGCAGCUUCCAUCGCGUAGUAGCUAACACCUCGCGACUGGAGAGCGGCGCGGCCACGCCGUAAAACACCCAACUCUUCUGAAGUUGACCUCGAAUCAGGUAGGAAUACCCGCUGAACUUAAGCAUAUCAAUAAGCGGAGGA